CCCUGGUGGCUCUGAUGGUAAAGAAUCUGCCUGCAAUGCAGAAGACCCGGGUUCACUUCCUGGAUCAGGAA
rnacentral:tRNA from 1 species